AGAAUCAACGCUGGCGGCGUGCCUAACACAUGCAAGUCGCACGAGAAAGGGGAGCAAUCCCUGAGUACAGUGGCGCACGGGUGAGUAACACGUGAAUAAUCUACCUCCGAGUGGGGAAUAACUGAGAGAAAUCUUAGCUAAUACCGCAUAAUACCCACGGGUCAAAGCAGCAAUGCGCUUGGAGAGGAGUUCGCGGCAGAUUAGUUAGUUGGCGGGGUAAUGGCCCACCAAGACAAUGAUCUGUAUCCGGCCUGAGAGGGCGCACGGACACACUGGAACUGAAACACGGUCCAGACUCCUACGGGAGGCAGCAGUGGGGAAUUUUGCGCAAUGGGGGAAACCCUGACGCAGCAACGCCGCGUGGAGGAUGAAGCCCCUUGGGGUGUAAACUCCUUUCGAUCGGGAAGAUAAUGACGGUACCGAUAUAAGAAGCCCGGCUAACUUCGCGCCAGCAGCCGC
rnacentral:rRNA from 1 species